GCUCGAGUGGCGAACGGGUGAGUAACACGUGAGUAACCUGCCCUUGACUUUGGGAUAACUUCAGGAAACUGGGGCUAAUACCGGAUAGGAGCUCCUGCUGCAUGGUGGGGGUUGGAAAGUUUCGGCGGUUGGGGAUGGACUCGCGGCUUAUCAGCUUGUUGGUGGGGUAGUGGCUUACCAAGGCUUUGACGGGUAGCCGGCCUGAGAGGGUGACCGGCCACAUUGGGACUGAUAUACGGCCCAG
rnacentral:rRNA from 1 species